AGAUUGAACGCUGGCGGCAUGCCUUACACAUGCAAGUCGAACGGCAGCACGGGAGCAAUCCUGGUGGCGAGUGGCGAACGGGUGAGUAAUACAUCGGAACGUGCCCAAUCGUGGGGGAUAACGCAGCGAAAGCUGUGCUAAUACCGCAUACGAUCUACGGAUGAAAGCAGGGGACCGCAAGGCCUUGCGCGAGUGGAGCGGCCGAUGGCAGAUUAGGUAGUUGGUGAGGUAAAGGCUCACCAAGCCUUCGAUCUGUAGCUGGUCUGAGAGGACGACCAGCCACACUGGGACUGAGACACGGCCCAGACUCCGUACGGGA
rnacentral:rRNA from 1 species